CCAGAAUGAGCCUUCUGGCAGGCCACUUUCCAUGUUCUCUAAGUGGCAAAGCAGAGCGCAGAGUUCUGCUUCCAUCAUACAGUCUCUUCCUACAAUGCUGCAGAGAAGCUGGGCUGGAGUCUGUACUGGUCCCUCCUACAACUUCUUAGAAUCCUGGAUGGGGACCAAGGAGAGUAGCCACACAGGU
rnacentral:snoRNA from 1 species